UUCAAAUCAAGUUGAGCGGGUCUGCAUCGUUAUUUUGACGAAGUUUGAAACCAGUGGUAAUUUUUUGACACUUCAUCUAGAUUUAAGAAGAUUCUUGCCUGAACAACUGUUCGAACUCCCGAGUUGACAUGCUCUAAAGGUAUAGUGAAUUCAGUAUGCAGAUUAUUGAAGGGAAAACAUCAAGACGGGGCAAGGAAGACAACAAAACAUGAUUACCCAGAUUGAGGAUCUCAGUGUUCUUUGUCUCAAGCUACUCAGCCUACCAUGAGAAAAUUAAAAGAUCUGUCAUGAAGAAGAGGCUGGUUCUCAACUUUCAUAUUAUAAAUGGCAAGUAUUGUUUAGAACUAAAUUUAGAUUAUUCUUGAUAAAAAAUAACAUAAGGGUUUUUGUCAAUUCAUAGCUAUUAUUUGUGAUUGCACUGUGUAUUAAUUUUCAAAAUCAAUUCAUUCUCUGGUGACCAAGUGCAGCAGUUUGCUUCAAACUCAUAAUUUUUUUUUAAAAAUAUUGACUAUAUUUGUCCAUAUGUACAAAAUGUUAAUCACGGUAUGAAU